UUUACCCAACAUCAGUCAACCAGGUUGAAACAGAGCCAGAUUUGAAAGUGAACAUUCUUCUAUUUUUUCCCUUACGCUUAGGAGCAUGGGAGCUCUGAGCUCCUGGCCGGUGAGGAAUCUGUGAAGUGAAGAAGGAAUGAAGAGGCCGAAUAGACUCUCAGCUGUUGGGUGUAGGCCAAAGCCAUCACCUGUCUCUAUGGCCCUCUCUCUCCAUUUUCCCUGACAGGCACUGACUUUCAGAGAGCAGAGGAGGGAGAGGGCUCUGAAGGUGGUGAAGGCAGAGACUGGGAGGAAGUCAGAUGUAGAAAACCAAAGAGAACAGCAGAGGGGGAGUAGAAUUUGAUGGAGCGCCAACAGGAGGGAAUUGAGAUUAGUGAGCGUUUAUGGUCUUUAGAGGGAUCCUGUCGGACACUUUCACCUGCAUUAUUUAUCAAACCUCAUAAAACUGUCCUAUUAUCAGUCCCACUUUAGAGAUGAGGAAACUGAAGUUGGGCAAAAAUCAGUCUCUUGCCUCAAAUUAGACAGUUAGUAAAUGGUGAAACAGAAGCGUGACCCAAAGGACUGAGCACUUGCGAUGAACCUUUUCUGGGGACUGAGGAGAAAAAGAUUCUUCAGGUAAUUUCUGUAAAACUGUGGCAGUACUCCAGGAUAAAGAAAACUGUAAGAUGUAUUCAGACACAGAUUGCAAGGCAAAGGGUGCACGUGAUACCAGAGAAAAGGCGACAUAUAUUUUCUCAAGAGCCCAACACAGAGGUCCUGCAAAUACGAGGAGAGCCUGGGCCGGACACCCGGGACCGAACACACCCUCUCAGAUCCAAAGGCCUCCUGUCUUCCCGGAGUGUUGGUGACAGCUCCUGGAAUUCUCCAUCCUUCUGCUCCUCCCCGUCACUGUGAACCACUGGUGAGGACUAGCUGUGUGUCCUGCUGCCUUUAUUAUGAGGCCACCUUCCAAAGCAAAGCCUGUAAUGCUCCUGCAAGGGUGCUUCACACUCUGCCAGAAAUGACAUCAGAACCAGAAAGUUCUAACAUAGGAAAGAGAGAGGCUUAACAUAUAUAUGUGUUGUUAACAUAUGUAUGUGUGUGUGUGUGUGUGUGUAUGUGCAUGUGUGCAUGCGUGUGGGGAAGUGCAUGUGUGUGUGACAUUUUUAAAACAUUGCCUCUGAGUAGUUACUGUCAGUUACAAGGACCAAAUCUCAAGGCCAGAAACCUUUCGCUGUUGGAAGGUUGGUGUUGCUUGACGGGACCCAAACAUUUGUAAAUCCAAGAUUAAAGCUAAUACAUAUUGCAGGAGGAAAGGCCAAACCCAACUCCGUGUCUGUCAACCCAGUAUCAACGUCAGUCCCUCUACGGCAUAUUUUGAGUCUGAAUCCCGGAUGAGUCAGAAAAGUGUUCCUUUUUAGAUAAUAGUGAAAUCAGGCCUUGGAGGAUUGUUAGCAAAAUUCAAUUUUGGUAAGGCCGUGCUCUGGGGAAGGAAGUGAAGAGAUAUACCAGAUUUAGACCUGUCGGAGACAAGAAGCAGCAAGUAACAGAGGGAAAGGUCCAAAUCUCUCUCUUGCCUGAAAUGAGUGGAAAAGCUGCAGCAAAUGGAAUGAGAAGGAGGACCUGCUUACUUUGCAAAGUUCUGUGAGCUCCUUCCAACUUCAAGAUCAGCAUCAGGAUCCUGCCUUACCCACGGCAUGCCUCCUGGAAGGUCCACGUCCAGAACCUGACAGCACCAAAUGCUGACCAGGCUGCGAGCCACAGGGACACAGGUGCAUUGCUGGUGGGAACGUGAAACAAAAGAGCCACCUUGGAAGAGGUGUUGCUGUUUCUUUCAAAACUGAACACGUUCCUCCCACACAAUCUAGCAAUCACACUCCUUGAUAUUUACCCAAAGGAGUUGAAAUCUUCUGUCUACACACAACCUGCACACAAAUGUUUACAACAGCUUUGAUCUUAAUUGCUAAAACCUGGACUACCAAAAUGAAUUUUAGGAGGUGAAUGGAUAAACAAACAGUAGUACACCCAAACAAUGAAAUAUUAUUAUUCCAUGCUAAAAAGAUGUGAGCUAUCAAGCCAUGAAAAGACAUGGAGGGAACUUAAAUGCAUACCACUAAGUGAAAGAAGCCACCUGAAAAGGCUCUGGACCGUGUCAUCCUAGCCAUGUAACAUUCAGGAAAGGGGAGAACUAUGGAGCCAGUAAGGACAGUGGCUGCCAGAGAGGGGGAGAGGGAUAAACAGAAUACAGAGGAGUUUCAAGGCAGUGAAAUAUUUAUAUAAUUGAUAUAUGGACCUUACAUUUGUUAAAACCCACAGUAUGCACAAGCUUCAAACUUGGUGCUAACUGUGGACAUUGAAUGAUUAUGAUAUACCAAUGUAGGUUCAUUGAUUUUAAUAAAGAUGCUAGAUGUUGAUAAUGAA